rnacentral:rRNA from 1 species
CCCUACGGGCGGCAGCAGUGGGGAAUAUUGGACAAUGGGGGAAACCCUGAUCCAGCCAUACCGCGUGUGUGAAGAAGGCCUUCGGGUUGUAAAGCACUUUCAGUAGGGAGGAAAAGGUUCCGGCUAAUAUCCGGAAUCCCUGACGUUACCUACAGAAGAAGCACCGGCAAACUCCGUGCCAGCAGCCGCGGUAAUCCGGAGGGUGCGAGCGUUAAUCGGAAUUACUGGGCGUAAAGCGCGCGUAGGCGGUUGGGUAAGCUGGAUGUGAAAGCCCUGGGCUCAACCUGGGAACUGCAUCCAGAACUGCCAGGCUAGAGUAUGGUAGAGGGUAGUGGAAUUUCCGGUGUAGCGGUGAAAUGCGUAGAUAUCGGAAGGAACACCAGUGGCGAAGGCGGCUGCCUGGACCAAUACUGACGCUGAGGUGCGAAAGCGUGGGGAGCAAACAGGAUUAGAUACCCUAGUAGUCG